rnacentral:tRNA from 1 species
GCCUGGGUGGCGAAAUUGGUAGACGCGCCAGACUCAAAAUCUGGUAUCAGCAAUGAUGUGUGGGUUCGACUCCCACCCCAGGCACCA